rnacentral:rRNA from 1 species
AACGAACGCUGGCGGCAUGCUUUACACAUGCAAGUCGAACGGUAACAGGCCUUCGGGCGCUGACGAGUGGCGAACGGGUGAGUAAUGCAUCGGAACGUGCCCAGUCGUGGGGGAUAACGCAGCGAAAGCUGUGCUAAUACCGCAUACGAUCUGCGGAUGAAAGCGGGGGACCUUCGGGCCUCGCGCGAUUGGAGCGGCCGAUGUCAGAUUAGGUAGGUGGUGGGGUAAAGGCUCACCAAGCCCACGAUCUGUAGCUGGUCUGAGAGGACGACCCGCCAAACUGGGGCUGUGACACGGCCCAGACGCCUACGGGAGGCAGGAGUGGGGAAUUUUGGACAAUGGGCGCAAGCGUGAGCCAGCAAUGCCGCGUGCAGGAAGAAGGCCUUCGGGUUGUAAACUGCUUUUGUACGGAGCGAAAAGGCUCCCUCUAAUACAGGGGGCUCAUGACGGUACCGUAAGAAUAAGCACCGGCUAACUACGUGCCUGCAGCCGCGGUAAAAC